rnacentral:rRNA from 1 species
AGUCGAACGAGCGAGAGAGAGCUUGCUUUCUCGAGCGAGUGGCGAACGGGUGAGUAACGCGUGAGGAACCUGCCUCAAAGAGGGGGACAACAGUUGGAAACGACUGCUAAUACCGCAUAAGCCCACGGGUCGGCAUCGACCAGAGGGAAAAGGAGCAAUCCGCUUUGAGAUGGCCUCGCGUCCGAUUAGCUAGUUGGUGAGGUAACGGCCCACCAAGGCGACGGUCGGUAGCCGGACUGAGAGGUUGAACGGCCACAUCGGGACUGAGACACGGCCCAGACUCCUACGGGAGGCAGCAGUGGGGAAUAUUGCACAAUGGGGGAAACCCUGAUGCAGCGACGCCGCGUGGAGGAAGAAGGUCUUCGGAUUGUAAACUCCUGUUGUUGGGGAAGAUAAUGACGGUACCCAACAAGGAAGUGACGGCUAACUACGUGCCAGCAGCCGCGGUAAAACGUAGGUCACAAGCGUUGUCCGGAAUUACUGGGUGUAAAGGGAGCGCAGGCGGGAAGACAAGUUGGAAGUGAAAUCUAUGGGCUCAACCCAUAAACUGCUUUCAAAACUGUUUUUCUUGAGUAGUGCAGAGGUAGGCGGAAUUCC